CUAAUAAGUGCUCUCCACCAGAGAGAGCAAAGCCCACCUGGUCUCAGCUUUUCUGUAUGUGUGUCUGUCAUUUCUUCAGUGUCUGUAGUUUCUUCAUUCCCGCGUCACCCCAGUCAGGUUUCCAGUACCUAGCCAUGCUGGAUGUGGCAAGUGGCGCCCUGUGAACAGAGACCUUGGACUAUGGGGAACUUGCAUCGGUCGGAUGAGGGAACGCCCCCCAGAGAAGUUCGCAAAUAAAGGUAAAGAGAAAGAUAAAAAUGAAGGUAAAGGGGCGGGGUGCAAUUGUGAGCGCUAGGUGUAAAGUAAUGGCAGGCAGGAUCUAGAGAUGAGCAGGCAUAUGUUAAUACUCUGAAGGAGGUUGGGGGAGCUCUGAAGCAGAGUGAAAACAUUCCCCCUCCAGUAAUUCUUAGACUCAUUCAGAAGACAUACCCUUGGCUUCCUGAAAAAAGGGUAAGGCAUUUGUACUUGGGAAAAGACAGGGAAAAAGUUAAGGGAUGACGUGCUUAGCAUCCAAGCAUAUUCCCAUUUUCAUCUGUAGUUUUUGGAGUCUUACUGUAUGUGAUUCCAUAGUUCCAAGGAGGGCAGGCUAUAUAGAGUUGGAUCUGCAAAGGCAGUGAGGUCAAUGGAAUUCACAGGGCAGGCUUGCUCUGAUUUGCCUGAUGCCCUGAACCCUAAUACUAAGGAAAGUGAUUAUGGUAUUGACGUUGAGGAUGACUAAUCCCAGGUGACUGCACUUUGGGUCUGGCCAGCAGUGAGCUUUAAUGGACAUAACCUCACUCCUUUACAGCAAACCUUGUUAGGUUGACAGAUUUGAGAAAAACUCAGUUGCUUUCUUCUGUUGUAGUGAAACUGAUCCACAGAAUUCAAAUGAUGUGCUAUCGUGAGACUGCCUUUUAAAUCCUGAGAGGAGAUUGAGCAAGCCUAGACAGCCUCAGGGCCUGUAGCUCUCUGUACCCAAGGAGUUAUUCCAUAUCUUCAGUGGCAAUGGUUGGCCCCCUUUUGAUUGGUUAAACAUGGAAAAAUCUUGCCCCCACCCAGGGGAUUAGCUGCUAUUUAAGAGUGCCUCACAGAAUUCUGUGAGGACCAAGCACAGCAUAACCUGACUCAUGUAAUCACUAUAGCUGUAGGCAUGUUCCUAGGUACAGGACUCACGAAGGACCAACAGCCAUUACACUAUCCUUUGUAAACUUGCCAACAAGUUAACACAGCUGCCUUAAGGCCACAGAAAAUAUUGCCCUACAAAAGUGAAAAACCCUUGUGGAGAACAGAUAGGAUAGGGCCAGAUUAUACCCAGAUUUUGUGCCUGGUUCUUUCAAGCUACGAUGCCACCUUAUAACUGACCUUGAGGCUGGAAAGGUACUUACAUAUCACUUGGUCCUUGAAAAUGCUGACAAGACUUAUAAGGAGGCAUGUAGGUAUUAUCAAAAGCACUUAAGUGUACAAGGGAUGAUUAGAUGUUAUGUGGACGUAUGUCCUAGCCACCUUUAAGACCUGUCUCUCUCGUCAGUCCUUAAGUAACCUAUGCCCUGAGGGGAAAGAGGUGCCUGUUUUACAUAUAGAAAAACACUUUGCAUGUGAUUGCUGCCACAAGGAGUUCACAUUUUUAAAAAGAAGCAUGCCCUAUACCUACUACGUACCACGAUCUGCACAGCUUCCUAGGUUUUUAUCUGAGAUGUCAGAGAGGAGUCUACUGGGCUAACACAUGCUAUUCACAAAUGGAUAUUCAUUAGCAACCUGCAGUGGGUCUGCCUGGGAAAAUGGCUGAUGCCCCUUCAAACAACAAGUGCCAUCAUCCUGAGGGCCGACCAUGAAUGACAGGAUAAGACAAUAACCCUCAGCCACCAAAAUGUACCAUUGAUCAGCUCUAAGGUAGCCUCAGGCAGUGGGUCACUGAACCUGAGUUCCACAACAUGUCCCACCCUCUGAACGUGGGACAUUUUUAAGCCAGCAGGUACAGUAGGACUUAUUUUAGGCAGAAGCAGCCAGAGCCUACAGGGAUGGCGGGUGCAUCUGGGAGUAAUAGAUGAAGAUUGUGCAGGGGGAGUUAAGGUUCUGAUUCAGUUACCCCAACUUCUUUUGGCACUACACUUGAGUUUAAAAUAGCUGAACCAAUUCCCCAAUGCUUAAUGAAGAAAGAUGCUCAUGGUUUGGGGUCUUCAUUACAGUCUGCUAUAAUUAGUUGUCAAGGUGCCGAAGGUCAUCAAGGUGCUUUUAGGUCUCACAUUCUAUCCAGGAUCUGAGCCAAACGGGAGUCCUUUUAUAUAGUCAAACCAUACUAUCAUUAGAUACAGCACCAUCAACUUAAUCCUUUAUGAGGUUUAGGUAAAAUACAAGGUGCAAUUACUCCUGUAAACCCUCACAGUGAUUAUUAAGGACUGGGAAUGGGGAUUGUGAUAACAUGACUGCUACUUUUCACCAGCAGCCCUGGUCAAUGCUUCAAUGCAUGCCCAGUGGAAAUUUGCCUCCCAGAUCACUUGGCCAUCAGAGAAACCCGUGUGGGUAGAUCAGUGGCCGCUCAUAGCAGAAAACUGCCUCUACUACUUUGGUGCAGAAACAGACACAGGACAGACACAUAGACAAGUCUAUUAAUCCCCAGAACACCCCUAUCUAUCUAAAAAAAAAAGAAGUUGGGUAAAUAUAGGCUAUUAUAGGAUUUAAGAACAUAAGCAAAGUCAUGCAGACGGUGGACCCCAGCACCUCUUGUAUCACAUUUUCACUUAAUUAUAGUUAACUUAAAGGGUUGCUGUCUACCAUUUGGCUACAUUCUGGCUAUCUCAAAAAUUUGCUUUAAUCCCUCUGUGACCUAAUCUUGGUCUGUCUGCAUAGCACUUGCCCAGGGUAUGAAAACAGCCCUACUGUGUGUUAGGAAUCUGUUAUUGAGGCUGGCAAGCUCAUACCUGACAAAGAGGCCAAGGUUUACAUCACCUACUCUAUGGACGAUCUUCUAGUCAGUCGUCCUGAUUCUACCAAACUGCCUAUGAACUGUGUUGACCUCAGAAACAGCCUGUAGACCCUGGUGUCUUCAAAUUGCUCCAGAAAAGAUUCAGAAGGUGUCUCCUCUCCGAUACCUACAUAGAAUUAUAGGGGAGCAUACUGUACACCCUCAAAACCUAGAAAUUCACAAGGUUUUUUCCAAAACUCUUAAUGAUUUUGGGAGAUGUAAAGUGGCUCAGACCUGGCUUAGGCACUUAAGCUUACUACCAAGAACUUAGAAGGGGACACCGAUCACUCUUCUCCAUGCCAGGGACUGUUGAGGCUAGUAUGGGAGUGGCUGUGUCCAAGCCUGUCAUUAGCAAUCCUAAAAUCACCCAUCAUCAUCCCUACUGGGGCACUCUGGCAAUCUCAGAGCAUUUUGAUAGCUGCAUUUAGGGCAUUCCUCAUCCAGGGUUUUGAACUUUUGCUAUGAUUUGGUGUUAAAGUUUAUCUCAGAGGGACUCAAACAUAGUAUAGGUAAAGAGCUGGAAGUAAGUUAUGUCUCAUUCAGGAGAUUCACAGCAUUGGCUCUAGCAGCAAUCCAGUGUCUAGCAACAUUCUUUGGCUAAUUAUCCUGGCCAGCUUGAUUCUAGUCUUCCACCAUCCAAGGCAGUGUGCUGUACCUGACUCAUGGGGUUAUUUUUCCUGUGGUCAUAGAGUCUUAACCCCUUGCUGAAGCUAAACCCGUUUACAGACACUUGUGGCAAUGUUACAACCCCUCCCAGUCCACCACUCUUCCUCGGGUUCUGAGGUACCAUGCAGUGUGUUCAAUGAGUUGAACUCUUUGCAGUUGCAUAGUUUUAGAUUAUUUUGCCUUCCCCUUUGUCAGUAUUUACAGCCUAUACUUCAUAGAGUAGGAGUAAAGCAAGCCUUAGAAGUGGCGACAUUGGUCAGGCAGCAGAUCAGAAGACAUCAUACCAUCUUUCCCAUCUGCUCCUGGAACUUGCCCCCAAGUCAGCAUCCUCGCUGUGCUGACUAUAUUUGGCUACCUCUAGCUUUCCCCAGACCAUUGGCUGAUGGUAAUGCAUGGCUAACAUCUUGGUCUCAGGGUCCUUGCUCUGCUCCCCUCUUGCUGUGCAGUCUGCCUUGAUCCAUUAUAGUCAUGCUUUGUGUCAUCAAAGCUCCCCUUUACAAGAGACACUCGCCAUUUUCUGAGAACAGGCUAGGCUAAAACAAUAUGGACAGCCUGUCACACACGAUGGCAUCGACCCUGGAAUGUUGUAUCCUAGUGCUGUCUGGCAGAUGGAUGUUCUUUCUCCCUGUCAUCUCAUUUGUACAGUUUGUGCAUGUUUCUGUUGAUAGCUGUUCUCAUUGUUUAUCCCCUGCUCACACAGGGGCCUGCCAGCAUGCUGUUGUUGCUCAUGGCCUGGCUGGAUUUGCUGGGAUGGGCCAUCCACAGCACCUCAAGGUGGGCAGUGCUCCUGCUUAUAGCUUUUCUGCAUUAACAAGCUUUUGUGUUCAACACAAAAGUAGCUCACAACAUGGACAUUCCUCAGGGACAGGGUAACAUAGAAAGACCCCACAGAUGACUCAAGCGACAAUUAGAGAAGCAAAAGGGUCCUCUAAACAGGGCUUUAUUUCCACUAAAUUUUAAUUGUGCAAAAGAUGGCAUUAACAGAAUGGCACAGGUCACCUGAGGACAGGGAAAUGAAACCUGAGGUGCUAUAAAAACACAUCAUGACAAGAAAGUGGUUUGGCCUGUUCCCCGUGCUAAUGUGGGGAAGAGGGUAUUCUUGUGUCUUCCCUGAAGGUGUGGAACAGCCAAUUUGGGUACCUUCAAGGCACCUAAAGAGCUUUGGAUGCAGUGAAGUUCCUGGUUGCAGGUGUGAAGAGGCCGAGGCUGGAGCCCACAGAGAACCCGAGAGUGUGGCCCUUGAAGCCAGUCGAGCGGGCUCCAAGGAGGAGGCCUCCUGCACAGACCUCAAGGAGGGCGACACCACCAACGUGGGGUCAAAUAAAAAGGCUGAUGCAAAUGUCGGAGGAGGGAGCACGAGGCCUGGGGUUGGGAAAUAACCCUGCAGCUAUAUUUCUGAUGUGUCUGGUAAUCAUAUCCAUUCAGUCUGGUGUUGAGCAUUUCAGCGAACCACCUCUGGACUAAGCACGGAGAGUCUUCAUGAACAUCUAAGAAAUAAGAAAGGGGGAGAUGUGGGGAGCAGAGGAAGGCCUAAGUGAAUUGUGUGUUGUUUGACAUGAGCACAGCCAUGUCAUGGACCCCAGUGCCUCAGAUCCAUGGACAUGGCAAAGCCUUUUCCGGGUCAGGCUCAGGGCCAAAGCCUUCCCCUGAUCCAAGCACGAAUGUUGACAGUGUGUACAGAAAGCAUCAACUUCAGCUUCCUCCUCCCAGCUGCAGCUUCCUUCUCCUAUCUACAGCUUCUUCUCCUACCUACAGCUUCCUCCUCCUACCUACAGCUUCCUCCUCCUGGAUAUUUAAAGCCGAGACUCUUCCCUUACAGAGACUGUCCCCCAAGACUAACCCCUCCUCCUUGUGCUGUACAUAAUAAACAUGCUGAGUUCCGGGUCGCAGAGUAAGUGCUCUCCACCAGAGAGAGCAAAGCCCACCCAGUCUCAGCUUUUCUGUA